GAAUAUUGGACAAUGGGCGCAAGCCUGAUCCAGCCAUGCCGCGUGUGUGAAGAAGGCCUUAGGGUUGUAAAGCACUUUCAGCGGGGAGGAAGGGGUGUGUGUUAAUAGCGCACAUCUUUGACGUUACUCGCAGAAGAAGCACCGGCUAACUCCGUGCCAGCAGCCGCGGUAAUACGGAGGGUGCAAGCGUUAAUCGGAAGUACUGGGCGUAAAGCGCACGUAGGCGGUAUGUUAAGUUGGAUGUGAAAGCCCCGGGCUCAACCUGGGAAUUGCAUUCAAAACUGGCAUGCUAGAGUAUGUGAGAGGGGAGUAGAAUUCCAAGUGUAGCGGUGAAAUGCGUAGAGAUUUGGAGGAAUACCAGUGGCGAAGGCGGCCCCCUGGCACAAUACUGACGCUGAGGUGCGAAAGCGUGGGGAGCAAACAGG
rnacentral:rRNA from 1 species